CUGUGGGCAAGCUUGAAAAGAUGAUGAGGAAUUGGGGCCAGAACACACAGCAGAUGCAGCCCGAGGAUGCAACAGCUGUACAGAUGCAAAGGGACUAUGAGAAGCUCAGCUUCAUAUCUGGGACCCUCCAGAAGGACUCUGAACAAAAGCAGAAAGAAAUCAAAGUAGGUGGCUGAAAAUCCUGUGGUAUCAAAAAAUCUCCCAGGCUCUCCUUGUGAUUCCAGGCAGGAUCACAAGAAUGUCUCCCUGCUGACCUUUUCAGCACUGUGCUGGUCCCAAGUGCAUUUCCUCAAGGUUUUUGGGCAGGGGGAGAGGGGUGUGUUCCCCUGGCCAGGAUGCAGCUCCAACCUUACUGCGGUACGAUCAGUUCCUUUCUGUGCUGAAAGAUGCUGUUCCAGUCUCUGGAGAAGCUGCAGAAGGAGAAGGCAGAUCAGCAGGACAUGCUGGCAGCAAUGGACAUGAAGGCGGACAAAGCUGCCUUGGGCAGCAAAGUCAAUUGCAGCCAGUUUGAUGUCACUAUGGAGCGUCUGGAUGAGAGGAUGCAGGAGUUGCAGAGCCAGAUUUCAGGCCAGGAGCAGCACUGGAACAAUACGCAGCAGCAGCUCAGUGAUGCAAUGGAAGAGAAGGUGAGGGGUACCUGGUCCC